CGUUUAAGUGCGUAUGGUGGAUGCCUUGGCAUAAUGUGACGAUGAAGGACGCGGCGUGGCUGCGAUAAGCUUCGGUGAGCUGCUCAGCAAGCUUUGACCCGGAGAUUUCCGAAUGGGGAAACCCAAUCAGGCAAACCCUGAUUACCUUGGCCCGUAAGUGGCCCAGUCCACUUUUCCACAUAUGACACGAAUUUGGUGGAGUAAUUUUUUUCUGAAUUUGCGACGUGAGAAGCGCAGUGUACCUCUUGUGGUGCUCGAGCGACGAGCAACAAUAAAAGCAGAAAAAAUUACCCAUCUACGAAAGCGCUAAAAUUCCUGAUUUCUUUGUCGUAUUUUUGGAGCCUAUGCUUUUGCAUAUUGUCUCCCUCGAUACUUCUCGAAAUCAAAAAUUUUAGCUGUUUCCAAAUUUCGCGUUAUAUGUGGAAUAGUGGACGUAAGGAGUGUACCCGCUGAAGUGAAACAUCUCAGUAAGCGGAGGAAAAGAAAAAAAGUCCGUUUUAAACGGAAGAAUUCCCUGAUUAGCGGCGAGCGAAACGGGAAUAGCCCAAACCCUAAAUUUAUUUAGGGGGUUGUAAGGUAGAAACACUUUCUACUAAUCGCUAAGCUUUUUGCUUAGCGAUAAGUGGAAUAAAGAGUUAAAAAUUCUUUAGUUAGUCGAAGCUUCUGGAAAGGAGCGCCAAAGAGGGUGAUAGCCCUGUAGACGAAAACUAAAGCACUCUUCGUUUUUAUUCUUGAGUACCUCGAGGCAAAAGAACCUUGAGGGAAUCUGCCAGUACUAUCUGGUAAGGCUAAAUACAUAUUAUGACCGAUAGUGAACAAGUACCGUGAGGGAAAGGUGAAAAGUAUCCCGGUGAGGGAGAUGAAAUAGUAUCUGAAACCAUACGCUUACAAGGAGACGGAGCCUUAAUCAGUGCAUCUCACUUUCGUGAGCUGCAGAAGCUUGAAUACGAAUUAUGAAUUAUGUGGCGAAGAAUUUUAAAGUUUUCUUCCAUGAUUCUUGAUUCAACAUUCAUAAUUCUGUACGUCGCGAGAGCGAGGUGCAUUGGCGGGUGACGUCGUGCCUAUUGAAGAAUGAUCCAACGAGUUUAGAUAAUUGGCAGGCUAAGCGACGAUGUUGCGGAGCCGCAGGGAAACCGAGUGUUAAUAGCGCGAAAAUUUAUGUCGUUUAUCUAAGACCCGAAGCAAGGUGAGCUUGCCCUGAGCAGGGUGAAGCGGAGGUAAGACUCCGUGGAGGCCCGAACCGGUUGAUCGUGUAACGUCUUCGGAUGACUUAGGGUAAGGAGUGAAAAGCUAAUCGAACCUUGUAAUAGCUGGUUCUCUCCGAAACAGUUUUAGGACUGGCGGAAAUGAAUAAAUGUAAUGGGGGUAGAGCUACUGGUUGAGAGUCACAGGGCGAAAGCUCGGGCUUUCAGUCAAACUCCGAAUACCAUUACAUCUGCGUUUCUAGUUAGAAAGUGGGGGAUAAGCUCCAUUUUCGCAAGGGAAACAGCCCAGAUCGUAAGCUAAGGUCCCAAAAUCUAUGUUAAGUGGUAAAGGCAGUUGUUUGCCAUAGACAGGUAGUAGGUUGGCUUAGAGGCAGCCAUCCUUUAAAGAGUGCGUAACAGCUCACUACUCGAUGGCCGACAGCGCCGAAAAUUCAACGGGGCUAAACAUAGUACCGAAGCUACGGAUUCGAGCAUCUCACUUUCGUGAGCUGCAGAAGCUGGAAUUAGGAAGCAUGAAUUAUGGAGGGGAGCAGUUCCCAUUCUUAAUUCAUAAUUCUAUAUUCUUAAUUCUGCACGUCGCGAGAGCGAGAUGCUUGAGUGGUAGGAGAGCAUUCCAAGUGCAAUGAAGGCGGAUCCGCGAGGACUGCUGGAGUGCUUGGAAGAGAGAAUGUUGGAAUGAGUAACCGCAAUGUAGGUGAGAAACCUACACCCCGUAAACCUAAGGUUUCCGUGGCAAUGGCAAUCAUCCACGGGUGAGGCGAUCCUAAGGCAAUGGCGAACGCCGUAGUCGAUGGGAAGCAGGUUAAUAUUCCUGCCCGGCCAAAGGUGUGCGAUGAGGUGACGGAGGAAAAAAGGGUGAGCGCCUUAAUGGUUUGGCGUCGCUCUCAUUAAGAUUAGACAUCCAGGAAAAUCCGGGUGUCUGCCUUUGAUGGCAAUAGUCGCAUUUGAGCGUAAGGUCGGGUUUACCGACUAAUUCAUCUGAAGAGCCUUCCUAGAAAAACCUCUAAGCAUUACACUUUUGGUCAUCGUACCGCAAUCCAACACAGGUAGGUGAGGCGAGUAGCCUCAGGGGAACGAGUGAGUCCUCCUUAAGGAACUCGGCAAAAUAGCGGCCGUAACUUUGGGAUAAGGCCUGCCCGAGCAUCUCACUUUCGUGAGCUGCAGAAGCUGGAAUUAUGAAGCAUGAAUUAUGGAGGGGAGCAGUUCCCAUUCUUAAUUCAUAAUUCUAUAUUCUUAAUUCUGCACGUCGCGAAAGCGAGGUGUUUGGGCCGCAGCUAAAGAUUCUCUGGCGACUGUUUACCAAAAACACAGCUCCCUGCGAACUCUAAUGAGGAUGUAUAGGGGGUGACGCCUGACCGAUGCGAGAAGGUCAACGAUGCGGGUGAUUUAUUGCUCAGCGUCCGAAGCCCUCGUCAAUGUCAGCGAUAACUAUAAUCGUUCUAAGGUAGCGCAUUUCCUUUCCGGGUAAGUUCCGGAGCGCACNNNNNNNNNNNNNNNNNNNNNNNNNNNNNNNNNNNNNNNNNNNNNNGUGAAGACGCGGAUUACCUGCAGUGGGACGAAAAGACCCCGGGAGCUUUACUGUAGCUUGGUAUUGGCCCUAGGGAUUUUCUGCGUAGUAUAGUGGGGAGACUUUGAAGCCUUUCUUUCGGGGAAGGUGGAGUCGCCAGUGAAAUACCCAUCUUUAAAUUUCUAGUGUCUAACCCCAACGGAAAAAACGUUGUGGGACAGUGCCUGGCGGGCAGUUUGAGUGGGGCGCUCUCCUCCCAAAGAGUAACGGAGGAGUUUAUAAGGUUGGCUUGGCGUGGAUGGACAUCACGCUGGACGCGUAAAGGCAAAAGCCAGCUUGACGGCAAGACGUACAUGUCGCGCCGGUGCGAAAGCAGAACUUAGUGACCCGAUGGCAUUUAAUAGAAAAGCCUGAGACAUCGGAUAAAAGCUACCCCGGGGAUAACAGGCUAGUCUUCUCUGAGCGUUCACAGCGACGAGAAGGUUCGGCACCUCGAUGUCGGCUCGUCCUAUCCUGGAGCUGGAGAAGGUUCCAAGGGUGUGGCUGUUCGCCACUUAAAAGGGCACGCGAGCUGGGUUCAGACCGUAAAGCAGCUUUUAGCUAUUAGCUUCGAGCUUUUAGUGAAAGGAUGUUUUGCUGUCUGAAUCCCGAGGAAACGACAUACAUCAUGGCGGCAUACAAUAGCAAUAUUGUGUGAGAAGUUAACUAAUAUCGGUGAAAUCCAGAACGGACAAUACCGAGGGAAUGGUUCGACUUUCGCUCACCACGAGCGAUUUUCAAUCGGCCCGUAGAGACUAAAUGUUGACCAUCUAGUAAUAGAUGAAGUUAUAGUCCAAUCCACAUAGGAAUAUGUGAAACAACCAUCCAAAAUUAUUAUAAUUGGAUAAUUGCGUGAGACAGGUUGGUCUCUAUCUACUGCAGGCGUUUAGUGUUUGAGGAGAGUUGUCCCUAGUAAAAUUUGCUACUUCAUAGAGUAAUCUAUGAUGACAAAUCGGCUAAUAACGGUGAAAUCUUAUUAACUUCGGUACGUUGAUAGCCAUGUCGGCUCUAGUCCAGCCAAUAUGGUACAAUUACUUGAGGACCGGAAAAUUAAUAAGACAAUACCGUGGGAAGUCUAGCCAGUGCUAUGCACUGGAAAUUUCAAAUCCCAAAAUCCAAAUUCCAAAUAAAUUCCAAUAACCAAAAUUCUAAUGUCCGAAACAAAAAGUUUUGAGCAUUUGAAAAUUGAAAUUUAGAAAAUUAUUUGUUAUUUGGUGCUUGUUAUUUGGUGUUUCCGCUGCUGUAGCGCGGUGAUGACCCCGUAACGACUUGAUCUAAAUAGAUCAGACUUGCACAUCACUGGAAAGUUUUUAUAUUUUAAAAACAGGUGUGUGUGGGUAAUACGCCGACCCCUAACCCGUUUGGGAAGGGUGAAGAUAUAGUCUGCGCUCCUAGUGAUAGGGGAAGAACGUGACGAGAGGACCGGGAUGAACGAACCACUGGUCUACCGGCUUUGCUACCAAGUGAAGCGCCGGGCAGCUAUGUUCGGACAGGAUAAGCGCUGAAAGCAUCUAAGCGCGAAGCCCCCUCCAAGAUUAGACACUUUGCAUUCCCGUAAGGGUUUGCAGCGAUACCUGGAAGAUGACCAGGUGAUAGGCUCUAGGUGUAAGUGCGGUAACGUAUUUAGCCGUGGAGUACUAAGCAAUCG
rnacentral:rRNA from 1 species